AUUGCUCACUGGUGAUGGUUGAUCAUGUAUUUACUUACAAGGAUAAACCAUAUAUCUCAACUAUAAUACUUGAAAUCUGAAAACUUUGCAAUGAUAAUUGUGGGCUGCAAACACAAGAGUCAAAAUAUGCAGAUAUUGCAGACCAGACACAAACUACCACUCUGUCCUUGCAACUCAUAUUGAAAGUGAUAAACUUAAGUCUGAUUCUAGACCCAAAUGAAAGUCAAGAAUUCAUUGCAGAUUAAAGUAGGCAUUAUGGUUUCAAUAGAACAAAAGAGUUAUCUUCAAAACAUGUCACAACUGCCUGAGAAAGCUGAUAAUAAGAAGCUGCUAAUAAGGACCUGCUAAUAAGCAGCUCAAAAGUACCUCAAAAUAACUCUACCAUGAGUUUCUCCAUCCCCCAGUUCAACCUGAACACAUCAAAGAGGAAGAAUACAGAAGAGAAUUGCAUAUUGAUUAUUACCUGCGUUUUUGUUGUGGGGAUCUUUUGUUGCGCACAGUUUGAGAAGCUUAAUAUGUAUGAAAGAGGAAAAUAGCUUUAGUGUAAUGAAAAUAAUAGAUGAAUGAGCCCUACUCAGAUUAAAGGCCAAAGUCAUCAUAAGUGUACCAGAACUUGUACUGAAUUUGAGGAAGAAGAAGUAGAAGAAGGAGGAGAAGGAGAAGGAGAAGGAGAAGGAGAAGGAGAAGGAGGAGCAGGAGCAGGAGAAGGAGAAGAAAAACCUGUAAUUAGUUAAACCCUUGAUAUUGAAGGUUGAUUUUGCAACAAAAUCUGAGCUAUCCAGAUUGAUCCAUGGAGAUUAAAACAAUUACUGUAUUGUGUUACUGUUGAUGCACAAUGCAUUACUCCAAACCUAGAAGCUUAAAUCAGCACACGAAUUUGUUAUCUCACAGUUUCUGUGGGUCAGGCAUCUAGGCAUGGCUUAACUGGGUCCUCUGCUCAGCAUCUCCCAAGGCUGCAAUUGAGUAUUUGUUUAGCUUAUAUUCUCAUUUAGCAGCUUGACUGGGAAAGAAUCCAUCUGCAAGUUCUUUUAGGUUUUGGCAAAAUUUUUUGCAUGCAGCCGCAUUACUAAAGACCCUGGCCUUUUGCUGCUUGUCAGCUGAAGGCGUCCCUGGGAUCCUAGAGACUGUUUACAGUUGCUCCUCAGAUGAACUUCUCUAGGAUGGCCCCUUAGUUAAUCAAAUCUGGAAAAUGAGCCUUUGAAUUCUUUUAAUAUUUUAACCUGAGUAAGUCCCCCUUUCAAGGGAUUUCACCUGAUUAAGUCAGUCUAUGGAAGACUCUCUCCCUCUUAAUUAACUUAGAUUAAGCCUGGACCUUAAGGUCUUUAUGUCUGCAAAAUCCCUUCAUGUUUGUCAUAUUCUAUUGGCCAAUAGUAAGUCAUGGGUCUCCCCUCCACACACAUACACUCAAGGGGAAGCAUUUUACAGGGCAGGAACUAAAGGGAUUAUGGGGAUCAUUUUAGGAUUCUGCUUACCACAAUCAGUUAAGCAAAUUUAAAAUUACAAGUGGGAAAGACAAUUAUGUAGAGAUAUGCAAUUCAGUUAAAGUUAACAAGCAUAUCAUUUGCAUUAUUUUGGUAACUGGGAUUGGAUUAGAGUGGUAAAGUCAAACUUGGAGAAAAGGUGACCAAGUUAAAUAUUUUUGAUUAGUAAACUCAAUGCGAGUAAUUUUUAAGGAUGAUUCAGGAUAAGUAGGUAUCAAGGAUAACUUUUGAGUUUCUGCCUUACAACAUAGGUAGAUAGCAAAUCCACUUACUGAAUUGGAAAUUAUGGACAAUGACAAGAUUUGGGUGAGAUUAUAAUAUAAUAUUUUUGUGAGAUUUGAGUGCAUAUAGUCUCAGUUGCUUUUGAGAAAUUUAAGUAUACAAUCUACAAAAUAUUAAGUUAUAGACACUUGAAACUUAGAGGAGAGGUCUAUAGCAGAGAUAUAAAUUUGGAGGUUCUUAUUGUAAAAUUAUAAGUAUGAAGGUGAUUGCUUAAGCAUAGUGAGAAGAGGGAUGGCCCAUGGCAUACCCUUGAGAAAUUUUAAUAUUUAAGGGUAUAGCAAAAGAGCAUCAAACUGCAAAUGACUGAAAGUGAGAAGUCACAGAUACAAGAGGGAAAUGAGAAGAGCUGCUUAGAGAUUGAGGAGAAUGAAGAAUAAUAAAAGUCAAUUAGAUUUACUGAUUCAAAAUUGUCUGGUAAUUUUGCAAGCUCUAGUUUGGUAGAAUGAUGAAGCUAAAAGAUAGAUUGGCAAAUGUAAUGAGGAAAUAAGUCAGACAGAAGCUGACUAUGACAUUAAACAGAGAGAGCCAAAGCUUGAGGGGCUUGAUAUUCAAGAGAGGGCUUUUUCUUGUUUGUUUUUUCAUAAGAAAGAUUUGGAAAUUGAUAACCUGGGGUCCCAGUGGCUAGAUGCUCACAGAGUUUUUCAAUUAUAGUGGAUUAUGGCAAGCCAAUAAAGUUCAGAAUCAUCAAAGUUCAAGCAAGUAGCAUGGACUUGCAAGUAGGCAGAAAGUCAAACCAGCCAAUCAUAUGUAAGCAUGAAUAAGGGUUGUUAAGGUAAAGUAAAUAGACUAGAGAUUAUAGCAUGAAGGGUGCCUAUAUGUGACCUAGUAUUACAAAGGUUGCUUGUCUAGGCUUUUCAUUAUUCACUUUAGAGAAUUUUCCAGUGUUUCUAUCCUUCUAAGGUGAUGUCUUUUCAAAGAUAUGUAACUAACAUGUAAUAUAAUUAAAUUUUUGUGAUACACCAGGCAGGAUAUAUGAAAGACUUUUUUCUUAUUGUAAUUCUUAUUAUUUUUAAUUGGAUCA